rnacentral:rRNA from 1 species
CCUACGUGUGGCAGCAGUGGGGAAUAUUGCACAAUGGGCGAAAGCCUGCUGCAGCAACGCCGCGUGAAGGAAGCCGGUUUUCGGAUUGUAAACUUCUGUUCUUAGUGAAGAAUAAUGACGGUAACUAAGGAGCAAGCCACGGCUAACUACGUGCCAGCAGCCGCGGCAAUAAGACGGUGUCAUGCGUUGUCCGGAAUGACUGGGUGUAAAGGGAGCGUAGGCGGGAAGCCAAGUCAGCUGUGAAAACUACGGGCUUAACCUGUAGACUGCAGUUGAAACUGGCUUUCUUGAGUGAAGUAGAGGUUGGCGGAAUUCCGAGUGUAGCGGUGAAAUGCGUAGAUAUUCGGAGGAACACCGGUGGCGAAGGCGGCCAACUGGGCUUUAACUGACGCUGAGGCUCGAAAGUGUGGGGAGCAAACAGGAUUAGAUACCCUGGUAGUC